AUACGGAGGAUCCGAGCGUUAUCCGGAUUUAUUGGGUUUAAAGGGUGCGCAGGCGGCCAUUUAAGUCAGCGGUUAAAUCGUGGGGCUCAACCCCAUUCUGCCGUUGAUACUGGGUGGCUUGAUUGCGGUCGAGGUUGGCGGAGUUCGUUGUGUAGCGGUGAAAUGCAUAGAUAUGACGAAGAACACCGAUUGCGUAGGCAGCUGACCAGACCGCAAAUGACGCUCAUGCACGAAAGUGCGGGGAUCGAACAGGAUUAGAUACCCUGGUAGUCCGCACAGUAAACGAUGAAUACUUGUUUUCGGCGAUAUAAUGUCGGAGGCAAAGCGAAAGCGAUAAGUAUUCCACCUGGGGAGUACGCCGGCAACGGUGAAACUCAAAUGAAUUGACGGGG
rnacentral:rRNA from 1 species